CAUGUCCUACGGGGCGCAGCAGUGGGGAAUAUUGCACAAUGGGAGGGACCCUGAUGCAGCGACGCCGCGUGAAGGAAGAAGUAUCUCGGUAUGUAAACUUCUAUCAGCAGGGAAGAAAGAGGACGGUACCUGACUAAGAAGCCCCGGCUAACUACGUGCCAGCAGCCGCGGUAAUACGUAGGGGGCGAGCGUUAUCCGGAUUUACUGGGUGUAAAGGGAGCGUAGACGGCCAUGCAAGCUCGGUGCGAAAGGCGCGGGCACAACCCGCA
rnacentral:rRNA from 1 species